rnacentral:rRNA from 1 species
UACGAAGGGUGCUAGCGUUGUUCGGAAUCAUUGGGCGUAAAGCGCGUGUAGGUGGCUUAUUAAGUCGAGUGUGAAAUCCCUGGGCUCAACCGAGGAAGUGCAUUCGAAACUGAUUAGCUAGAAGACGGUAGAGGAAGGUGGAAUUCCAAGUGUAGAGGUGAAAUUCGUAGAUAUCUGGAGGAAUACCGGUGGCGAAGGCGGCAUCCUGGACCGGCAUUGACGCUGAGGAGCGAAAGCCAGGGGAGCAAACGGG